UACGGAGGGUGCAAGCGUUAAUCGGAAUUACUGGGCGUAAAGCGUGCGCAGGCGGUUUGUUAAGUCCGCUGUGAAAUCCCCGAGCUCAACUUGGGAAUUGCAGUGGAUACUGGCAAGCUGGAGUAUGGUAGAGGAAGGUGGAAUUCCCGGUGUAGCAGUGAAAUGCGUAGAGAUCGGGAGGAACACCUGUGGCGAAGGCGGCCCCCUGGGCCGGCCCUGACACUGAGACGCGAAGGCGUGGGGAGCGAACGGG
rnacentral:rRNA from 1 species